AGCUCAAUGCGCUUCUCGUCCUCCCGCUCAUUACUAGUUCGAGUAACGAAUUUCUACUCCGUGGGUUGCAGGUUCGAAUCCUGCUGGGAUCGCCA
rnacentral:tRNA from 1 species